rnacentral:lncRNA from 1 species
CGCUGAGGAUCAUCUCAGAGCUAGUCCGCUCUUGUGCAGCUGAGGGCCAGAGCUGUCUGAGCUCUCUCAUAAGACAUGAAAAGAUAGGGCCUUAACCACAGCCUCCUGAUUAACCCUGAAGUGGUCACAGCCUGAGCCCUUCAGCCUUUGGGAAUGCUCCAGGGAGACUGAGAAGGGAAGCAGGAAGCACUCAGUUCUAGGGAGUGUCUGGUUCUUCAGGGUCAGUAAGAUCUUGACAGCCGGCUUAUAUGAAGCAGGCUCUUCCUGCUUUCUCUGCCACCCAUACCUUCCUGCGACUGCAGGGUUUAAGGCCACAGAGGAGAAAAGGGAGCUUCAGGGGGAUAUGCUGAGUCCUUUAAACCAAGAAGCACAGAGACGUAGUCCAGGAGCCUGCUCUUCCCUGGCGGCCAGCAGUACACCGUGUGCUUGUCUUCCAGGUUAGGCAAACAGCACAGGAAGCGAAUGGUCCAACUGAGGCUUGUCUGUUGGCCAGGGAGUGUCUUCUCCAGCAGUGUGGGGCACCUGAAUUCCACACUCAGACAAGUUGGUUUCCUCUGGUCCUUGACCUAGGCACACGCUGCUCAAAUCUUGCAUGACAAUAAGGAGAUCCGACUGUUCUUUGAGUUGGGUAGGGGAAGCAGGUGAAAAACUUCCAAAUACACCACAGGGUUAAACUGUCCUAGGGACCUUUCUUUUUUUCCUUCUUAUUUUUAUUUUUACUCCUCUUUCUCUCUCUCUCUCUCUCUCUCUCUCUCUCUCUCUCUCUCUCUCUCUCUCUCUCUCUC